GAUACACAAAACCACAAGUGUUAUCUCUGCAAGAGACUCUUGGUAAAGGAUUCCCGAGAGAGAGAAAUACAGAAGGCAGGGCCAUUAACGAGAAAGGUGUCGAAAUUUGGAGCUUGCCGACAUGCGCCUCUUCUGUUGCGGCAGGUUGCUGGCGUCGACGCCCAAGUUCGGUGUCGAGGACCAGCGCGCGCUCGGAACUUCAUCGAAAGCAUCGUCACGGAUCGAACCGGCAGCCGAUAGAGCAUUUCCGAUCACUACCAACGCCAAGCCGUUCAGGAACGAAUCUACGGGGACUGUCAUCAAAUCACCAUAGUGCAACGAAAAUCGUGUGACACCGACCGCCCUUAUUUAAUCGAGCGACACGUUGGCUACGUGGGAUUUGGAGCCGGCAGCCUUGCUGACAUGCAGCUUACGUCUCUUCUGUUGCUGCAGGUGCCCUCCCGGAUGACUGAAAAAUUGCACAUGUCGUCCCCAUUCAUAAAGGGAGGAGGUUGAACACUGGAGAUAGGCCAUCGGGUUCUGGACCCGAGCCACCACGGCUUCGACCAUCCGGAGCUCCCAGUCGUGGGCAUGCUUUUGCCCUCCUGUGACUCUCGACUUCGUCUGGCCAUGGACUCCCAUUCUGAGGCCUGUGCAUGACUGCGCCUGUAGGCGAAACCUUGAGCAGUCAGGCCAGAGGUCGCGCCUGGCCAGGACGUCCCCUUCCUCUGCCGCUUCAUGUCCUCGAGGUUUCAGCUGCGGCGCCUGCUUCCUCUCGGUCAGCCGAGAGUUAAUGACUACUACUACGCUUCAGCCAGCAUCGACUCUCCACUAAACCACAUCACUGCUUUGGGGAGAUCCUCACCGGUUCCCACAUCGCCACGUCCAUUGUACAACGUUGAAAGGGAUUGUUUGAGAGAACUGCAUGCUACUAUGCCACUUGGUUUCGCAACAGUUCUUCUUCUGUAGCGCUCUGAUAAUGUCCAACGUAUCAUAAUGUUAACUACUUCCCUUUUGUUGUGUGUAUUAAAUGUUGUGCGUGCCAGUGUUAAAAAACUGCUUUGUCCUUAACUGUGUGCUCUGAGAUUCUGCCUCUGUAACCAGCUGCUAAAUCUAAGAACCUGCAUCACAAUGAGGCAGUGCAUAUUGUGUCCCUUGUUGCCAGAACGAUUUUCUACCUCUCAGUCCUAACGAGAUCAUUGACAGUGCGAUUGCUGGCAGUGAUGUAUCAUGCGGUAUCGCACGUCACUGACACUAAAUGUUCCAAAACUUAACGGGAUGGGACUGCCAAUAAAAAAAAAUGACAGAGAAAGAAACGGGCACAGUAACCAUGUUGCUCCUGGUUCGCUACUGCUACUAUGCAAUAGUGUAGCGGGACGUCAAAAUCAUUUACGAAGCGAACGACGUCGGUCCUUUUAGAGAGGGAGUGCUCUUGCCUGUCCCACGGUGACAACAGUGACAGUGCCCGGAAUGAAACGGAAGGAGCAGCCCGGCGUUAGUUAUGUUCAGGCCUGUCGUUGCCUAGCGCAGCCAUCGGCGCAGAUAGACCAUGUGGCUUUAUAUAGGAAACGCCAAAUCAGACGCCACUGCCAAGGAUUCCCACUUUGUGCAAUCCGCUACAUAGUUGCCGUUUUCCCGUGAGGACAUCGAAGGUGCCGUCUAGACUAUCGCAUAACCAAAGCAAGUUGCUUGUUGGACCAACCCUGAUCGUCGGUACGCCCUCUUCGGCAUUGACCCGCAGUACACCUACGACGUCCCCCUGGGGGACAGUUAAAACACGAUGAGGGCGUGGGUCAUUGAUUGACACUUCGUGUAGCCUUCCCCAAUACUUUUUGUUGGACAACUCAUUUCGCAGCUGCACACCGAGUUCAAGCUUCCUGGUUUUAAUGAGCACGUGCUAUGUCACACCAGCGCUGUACCAACAUGCGGAUAGCAGCGAAUAAGACUUAAUUAAAUACACGAGGAAGAAUACAGACUAGCAAUCUCGUAGGGCCUCGAGACAGGAAUAGGGACGCAGUUCGAAAUAAUACGACCCUGCUGUAAUACUUACGCCAGUCAAGAGUUAUAGACAUCCUGUGACUGUUCUUCAGUGAUUUGGCAAUCUGGGAACUUGUUAGGUAUCUCUAACUUAAUUUUUUUUCUUUUCUUUUUCAGGACUUAGAUAUUCUUUGACCUUUUUUCAGUGGCUUUGGAACCUGGGAUAUUGUUUGAUAUUUCUACCGUAUUUUCGUACUUUUUAUUUUAUUUUUUUGCUUGUGUUGAUUUUCUGGUCCCCUUCAUGUCAACUCAAACACCUCACUAUAAGCAGCAAGCCCUGCGUACAGCAGGGCUGUCAUUCUCAGUUACCACUCUCUCCAUGUUGCAGAGAACGAGUACAGCGUGCCACUGUGCUUGGCAGCCAACGAUAGCAAACGUGCGUGUGAACCAAAAGUCGGCCUCACUUGGACCGGAACAGUCGCGCUUGGCUGGAUUCUGUGGGCGCGUGCUGUGGUAUAUAGUGGCCUAUGUAAGGCUCCGCCGGGAGCAAAUGACCUUGGCGUAACAAUGAGGCACGGACGGCAUACACGGCGUCAACAUAUACGUCUAGCUGUCGUAGCUUCAGUGCAUGGAGAACUAAUUACGCAAGCAGCAAAUCGAAUGUCAUGUUACAAAACAGGCCCAUGUGAAGCCUGGCAUCGAGCCAGCAACCUCGUUAGCACACGUAGUGUUAAGCGGGGGACUGUAUGCGCGUGCCCGUGCACUGCUCUGGACAGACAUUAUGGUGCACUCUCAGAAGCGCAUCCGGGCGAAUUUUCAUUGAAUCCGAGGAGCACAUUUCGCGAUCGAAGUUUACUGCAUA